AAUCAACGCUGGCGGCGUGCCUAACACAUGCAAGUCGAACGCGAAAAGGGGCAACCCUGAGUAGAGUGGCGUCCGGGUGAGUAACACGUGGAUAAUCUGCCUGCGGGCGGGGAAUAACUUUCCGAAAGGGGAGCUAAUACCGCAUAACACCGUAAUAGGGCAUCCUGAUACGGUCAAAGAGGGGGAGUCGCAAGACCUCUCGCCCGCAGAGGAGUCCGCGGCCGAUUAGCUAGUUGGCGAGGCAACGGCUCACCAAGGCAGCGAUCGGUAGCCGGCCUGAGAGGGCGAACGGCCACACU
rnacentral:rRNA from 1 species